GAACCGGACAAACCCUAGCCGAAUUAAGAAGCCACAGCCAUGACGAUCCGGCAGCUCUUAACCCUAGCCCGCCGGUCCCGAAACCUCACCACAUGCCAAUCACUCCGACGUCUCUCUACAUCUUCAUCCGCCGUCGCCGCCACAUCCUCCACCUCUCCGGCCACCGGUCCACCUCCUCCAGAUGCAAUGAUCUACGACCGAUUAGCCGAAGACGUUAAGCACAAAAUCAAACGGCUCGAGAAUCCCGAUUCACGAUUCCUCCAGUACAACUCCCCUCACCCAACCUUAACCGACCACACACCAAUCCUCAGCUUCCCU
rnacentral:lncRNA from 1 species